rnacentral:lncRNA from 1 species
ACUUUACUGGCAAGACUUGGGGAUUCAGCUAAAGGUAAAGCUAAUCAGAGGUAACAGUGUUUUCUUGAGAAAUGUUUUUAUAGAUGCAUAUUUGUUUCAUGCUAUCGUUUAGGAUUGAAAAGUAUGUUAAGACAUCUUUAGGACAGAUUUAUUUAUGAUAUAAAUGAUAGAUUCAUUUUUAUUUUUUAUUUUUAAUUUUUUAAAAGACUUAUUUAUUUAAUGUAAAUGAGUACACUGUAGCUGUCUUCAGACAUACCAGAAGUGAGCAUCAGAUGUCAUUACAGAUGGUUCUGAGCCACCAUGUGGUUGCUGGGAUUUGAACUCAGGACCUCUGGAAGAGCAGUCACUGCCCUUAACCACUGAGCCAUCUCUCCAGCCCUCAUUUUUAUUUUUUAAAAAUUAUUUAUGUUCAUGUCUUCUCUGCAUGUAUGUUUGUGCACUGUGUGCAUCCUUGGUUGCCAUAGAGGCCAAAACAGGGUGUCACACCCCCUAGAACUGUUGCAGGCAAUUAGGAACUGCCAUGUAGGUGCUGAAAAUCGAAAACAGCUUGUGCUUUUAACUCUCGCCAUCUUGCAAGCCCCUAGAUUUGUUUCAGAUUAGCAGAUUGUUUUCUUACAUAGUGAGUUGUGUUGGUUUCUUUUCCUUUUGCUAUGAUAAAGUACCCCGACUAAAGCAAAUUAAGGAAGGAAAGAAUUACUGUCACUGAUAGUUCAAGUUAGUCAGGAGCAGGCAUUUGAAGCAGCUGCUCCUGUUAUCUCCAUAGUCAAAAGGAAACUGAUGCAUGCAUGCUCCUGAUAAGCUUGCUUUUCUAUUCUACACAGUUCAACAACCCCUUCCCCUACUGCAUGGUUCUUCCCACAUGAGUUAAUGUAUGGUAACCACCUGAGCCUGCAUUCCCGUUGAUUCUGACUUGUAUCACGGGGACAGCAGCGAUCCUCUUAUAUACCCCCAAGGUUCUUGUGUAGUGAGGAUCAAGAUCCACAGUACUUCUAAUGAGGUUUGAAAUAUACUGCUUCUCUGUUAUUUAUUCUAUUUGAAUGAUACAGAUUUUCGAUUGGACUUUGAGAAUCGAUGCCGAGGAAUUCCUGGUGAUCCAUCUGGACCACUUUCUGGCAAAAAUCUUUCAGAAGUUGUGAAUAAUAUUGUUUGGGUUCGUCAGUUGGAAUUGAAGGUACUUGUUUUAAUACAGUUGAACAGUGAACAUUCAAAAUGUACAAUUAAUUAAGGUAUAUGCCAGGAUCCUCAAGCUCUUGUGACACUACAGUUCUCCCUGCAGGCGGUACAGUUAGCUUCUCAUUGCUGUGACUGAUGCUAGAGAAGCGACUCUAGGGAAGCAGGAUUUACUUUGGCUCACAGUGACUUUCAGGAUGAGCGGUUUGGAUGCUUGCAGCUCCAUGUUUGCUGGCUGGAGCUUAUGACAUGAUAGUUUGGCAGAUCAGCAGUCAGAGAACUGGGUGCAAAACCUUGCUAAGUUGUGGCCUCUAAUCCCUACCUCAUGAUUUUACACUGUCGGUUAGGCUCCAUGUCAAAGGGACGCUACUGUUACCACAAACAGUGCCUUCAGCUGGGGACCAUGUGUUUAAAUACCUAAUCCAGUAGGAUGCAGUUUACCUUCAUGCCAUAAUAUCUCAUUUUCAUUGAAAUGUAAAGAAGUCUAAGAACACAUGUGUGCAAAAGGUUCUGGUUGUGUUCAUUUUCACAAUAGAGGAGUCUGUCACGAUGUGUUGCCUUUGAAAGCAUCUGUGAGGACUGUACUGUAUCUUUGAUACUAGAUUCAAACAAAAACUUGGGUUGCCACAUUGGUUUGAAAGUCUAACCACAAGUAUUUUUAUGUCACUAAAAUCACAUCAGAAGUUUAAGGAAAGGCAAAAGGUAGUUAUACAUAAUUGCCUGUGAUAAUGUUAUUAAAAUUGAGCUCAGACUCUGGUGGACCUAUUAUUAAUAUGUAUAGGUUUUGAAUUGACCCGUAUAAUAAACUUUAAAGGUCAUGGGAUAUUAUAAAACCUACUUCUCAAAGCUGUACCUUUGAACUAUAUUCUGAAAUAUUUUGCCUUGUAUUUUCCAUCAGUCAUUUCUCGAGAGUACCAGAAUUGGCAGCUAUGGAGGAAGACACAUUUUUUUUUUUUAACCUGACAUGCAAAUCUAUUUCUUGUUUGAACUAUUAACGUUUUUAGCAAGUGGCCAGUAUUAAUCUGAAUAUGUUUAGGAGUAAUGUGAUGCUGUGGAUAUGAGUGAAGUUCAGCUCUUGCUUGCUUUGCCUCCCCUUCCGUUAACUCUUUAUGUUCUACCUUGUUUGACUGUCCUCUUGGGAUUUAUUAUUCUGAGGUUGUGUGGUUCAGAAGGCAAUUAGAAGAUGAUACGCUUAUUCCUUACGGAAAAGCUUUGUCCUCUUGUUUAUAAAUGAAAGAAAAAUGUUUUUUGAGUCUUAAGUCAGAGAAAGGACCUCCUAAUUUUAAAAGCUGAAAUGUAGCUACUAGCAUUAAUGCUUAUCUUUGUCAUUUGACUUUUUAAAGGUAGACGAUACUAUCAAGAUAGCAGAAGCUCUUUUGUCUGACUUGUCAGGAUUUCGAUCUUUUCAUCGGAGUGCUGAAGAUCUCUUGGACCAGUUCAAGCUCUAUGAACAGGAACAGUUUGAUGACUGGUCAAGAGAAGUCCAGUCAGGGUUGUCUGACUCCAGGUCAGGUCUGUGGUAAGUGCCAGCACUGCAGUGUGAGCACGUGAUCCAUGUGGGAAGAUGGAAAGAGCCCUUCUCUACGGACAUGCUGCUGCUUGUUUAGGAGUUGUUGUUGCGUGUAAAACAUUUUUACUCUUUUUAUUUUAAAGAUUGUUUUUAUCAUUUUUAUGUGUAUAUGUGGGGAUGUCACAUAUAUGCUCCAUUGCCCUCAGAGGCAAGACAAGUGCCAGAUCACUAGAUUUAGGGGAGACUAUGGGCUUUGACUUUGUUGUUGGGAACUGAACUUGGGUUGUCUAGGAGAGCCGGGCCAUCUAUCUCAUUGGCCCUGAGUGUACUGUAAGUCUCUGAAGUUGGAAACUUUAACUAUACAACUGGAGGUGCCUGCCUGCCCUCUCUAGUCACAUGUCUAGACCUGGGGACUACAGAUUCUUUUUUGAGAAUUAGAUAUUCCUUCUUUCAUGAUUUUUUUUUUUAAUGAAAAAUGUCUCAUACAUUUUUUCUACCUUUUUUAAACAAUUGAAUGCAUAAGCACUUUAAAUUGCAAUUACUUUUGAACCCUUUAAGAAAGAGGUAUUUUUCUCAUGACACUCCAAGUCGUAAGUAAGCCUUUGGCAAGUAGUUACUAAAUUUUAUUUAAUAUUUUGUUGGUUACCAUUGUCUUAUUAGCAAUUCAUUGGGUGUGACUAGG